rnacentral:lncRNA from 1 species
CUGCCCUACGGGCAUCACUCCCCUGUUUGUGUACUUUUUCCUUUUGCUAUUCAAUAGAAAGUCAUCUUCGGCUCUUCCUGGCGAUCAGAUCACAAGUUGUUUGGCCAUUCGGCUCGUUUCUUAGUCGAAUUCUGGGCUUCCCCUCUCCAUUCGGCUCAUCCUGCCGAAGCGAAUUUACUGCGGAGGUUUUCGAACCCGGCUGAUUCGAUCCCUCAUCGGCCUAAUCGCUUGAUCCUCUGUGGGCGCAUACUUCGAGGGUC